rnacentral:rRNA from 1 species
CGAGUUUGAUCAUGGCUCAGGAUGAACGCUAGCUACAGGCUUAACACAUGCAAGUCGAGGGGAAACGACAUCGAAAGCUUGCUUUUGAUGGGCGUCGACCGGCGCACGGGUGAGUAACGCGUAUCCAACCUGCCCACCACUUGGGGAUAACCUUGCGAAAGUAAGACUAAUACCCAAUGAUAUCUCUAGAAGACAUCUGAAAGAGAUUAAAGAUUUAUCGGUGAUGGAUGGGGAUGCGUCUGAUUAGCUUGUUGGCGGGGUAACGGCCACCAAGGCUACGAUCAGUAGGGGUUCUGAGAGGAACGGUCCCCCACAUUGGAACUGAGACACGGUCCAAACGUCCUACGGGAGGCA